rnacentral:rRNA from 1 species
UGCCAGCAGCCGCGGUAAUACGGAGGGGGCGAGCGUUAUUCGGAAUUAUUGGGCGUAAAGCGCGUGUAGGCGGUUCGUUAAGUCUGAUGUGAAAGCCCGGGGCUCAACCCCGGAAGUGCAUUGGAAACUGGCGAACUUGAGUACGGGAGAGGAAAGUGGAAUUCCGAGUGUAGGGGUGAAAUCCGUAGAUAUUCGGAGGAACACCAGUGGCGAAGGCGGCUUUCUGGACAGAUAUUGACGCUGAGGCGCGAAGGCGUGGGUAGCGAACAGGAUUAGAUA